UUUUUUCUUUCCAUUUUGAUUGUAGCAAUUUAGUUUUAGCAAUUUAGUCGGCAAAUUUGGUUGCUCUCACUGGUUUGAAGCAAUACACAGAAAGCCUAGAUAACCAGAAGGUUAGUUAAUCCUUUAUUUUCUUUUUCUUUUUUUAGUUUUUUAAAUUUACGUUUGAAUUUGGUAUAUUUGUAGUUGGGACUUUUUUAUUUAGGAAUUUGG
rnacentral:lncRNA from 1 species